rnacentral:lncRNA from 1 species
GGCGGGGCGGGCCUCUUCCUUCCGGCCCAGGGAGGGUCGGAACUCGAAGGUGUCGAGAGACAAGUCGAUGGGCUCCCCGGGAGGGUUAGCUGGCCGCCUCUUUAAGUUUUCUACGAACGCUGCUAGUCGCCUUGGAGGCAGCAAGUCCUACGGGAAGUGGCUCAAGUCCCAGCGGAGAAAGUCCGCCUCCUCCUCCCCCUCCUCCCCCUGGCCCGGGAGGCUUAGGGUUGCUCCGCGUCGCUCCGAGGCAGCCCCGGACAUGGACGACAGACGUGGCGGUCGGGGGGCGACGGGACCUGGCGGAGGCAGAGUGUCCUGAUGCUACCUGACUACCCAAAACCCACCGAAGUCUGGCUUGAUCUCCCAGGGAAGAAUCUGCCAGAGUUUUGCAGCUCAUGGACGCAGCUGGGAAUUAGACCACACACUAUGGAAACAACUUCCAGCAGUGAGACAAGCCAGGAUCUGUAAGGUUUUGGGUGACCACCAAAGCUGUAGGUCCCUUGUCCUACAGUAAGAGACUGUGGCCCUGACUGAUGGAAGUAGUGUAAGCAAGUGACGUAGAACAGUUACAGCUAGUUACACUGCUUUUUAUUUUUCUGUGCCUUGUACCUCCUUUUAAAAAAAGGCAUGUUGUGGAAAAAUAUCAGUUUAGAAAGGUUUGCCCCACCCCCUUCUUUUAGUGCUGCUCUAAUCCCGUUGUUAUAUCAUUUCAGUGCGAUUUCAACCAAAAGCCUAUUUAAGCUUAGAUGCUUGCUUUGCAGUUUGAGAUUUUUACAUUGUUUUGGAUUUUUUUUAUGUUUGCGGAUUGCUAGAUGAAAAAAAGGAGUUGAUGAUCAUUAACUUUUCUUAUAUUUCUAGUUCUUUAUUUUGUGGCAUUGAUCAUGAUGUUUUGCAGAUUUCACAGAAGCAAGAUUCAAAGCCAUAGCAAACAUGUUAAAUAGCUAUGUAUUUCACCCACAUUGGCAGAAGCAGGGUGACAAAAAUAGGUGGGUGGGGAAAAUACUUACAAAAAUUCUUCAAGCCAAUCUAACGCUUGGGAGGUGUGGAUUUUCCGCCCCAAGCAAGGGGAAUGUAGAAAGAGGAGAGAGUGGUUUUUAAUAUUGGUGGUCGUGCUUUUAUUGUAAAUUGGUUUUGUUUUUUUCUCUGUUUUAUUGUUGUGUGUUUUCAUUGUGAUGUGUUUGAAUGAAGCACAGGGUGAAACGCGUGCUGAAAAUGUAUGUGUUCACGCAGGCAUUCCCAAUGCGAAAGGAAGUCUGUUUGUUUACUUCAUCCAGUUUUAAUUUUGUUUUUAAUAUAUGGUUUUUUAAAAAAUAUGUCUUUUAGUGUAUACUGUAAAUCACUUCCAGAUUUUUAAAAAGAUGAAGCGAUAUAGAAUUUUUAUAAAAUAAACAGUUGGAUCCACUG